GUGAGGAAUAUUGCGCAAUGGGGGCAACCCUGACGCAGUGACGCCGCGUGAGUGAUGAAGGCUUUCGAGUCGUAAAGCUCUGUUAGGUGGAAAGAAACAUCCCGGCGCUAAUAUCGUCGGGACUUGACGGUACCACCAGAGGAAGCACCGGCUAACUCCGUGCCAGCAGCCGCGGUAAUACGGAGGGUGCAAGCGUUGUUCGGAUUUACUGGGCGUAAAGGGCGUGUAGGCGGUUGGUUAAGUCAGAUGUGAAAUCCCUUAGCUUAACUAAGGAACGGCAUUUGAAACUAGCCAACUAGAGUACAGGAGAGGAAAGUGGAAUUCCCAGUGUAGAGGUGAAAUUCAUAGAUAUUGGGAGGAACACCGGUAGCGAAGGCGGCUUUCUGGCCUGAUACUGACGCUGAGACGCGAAAGCGUGGGUAGCAAACAGGAUUAGAUACCCGAGUAGUCC
rnacentral:rRNA from 1 species